UGAGAGAAGUGAAAUACAGAUCUAAGAGGAGACAGAGAGAUUCAGGGAGGAGCUAAGAUGUUCCUGAACUAUAGAAGAGAGAGGAACUUCCAUAUUCACCAGAGUUCAACACAGACCAUCAUCAUCACCUUCAUUCAACAUGCUGUCAUUAGACUAUUAUUUACAUUCCCUACUGUUAGUUUCCAUUCUAAGAGGGGUCAGCUGUGAAGAUCUCACUGCAUUACAGAAAGAAGAGUUCAGUCCAGAAGGCAGCUCUGUUACUCUGUCCUACAGAUACUCCAAAACUAUAACGGCUAGUGAAGAUUUCUUCUGGUAUCGACAAUAUCCAGGAAAACAACCAGAGUUUCUUCUCUACAUCUCAGGAACAAGUUUUACAAGACUAGCAGAGUCUCUGAAAUCAGACACAACGUUCUCUUCUAAACUGUCUGCAGAAAAGAACAUAGAUCUGAGCAUCUCCUCUGCUGCAGUGACAGACUCUGCUGUGUUCUACUGUGCUGUGAGGCCCACAGUGACAGGAAACACCAACACUCUGUACACAAACACCAGCUGACAC